rnacentral:ncRNA from 1 species
AUAAAAGCUAAAAAGGGUAGUAGUAAAUAAGGUUUUUUAUCAAAGAGAGCUAAUGGAUGGUGUGAAUUAGCAUAGAAAUUUAUUGAAUCCGACCUGGAGCUGUGUAGGGGUGAAAACUUACAACGGGAAGUCCGUUAUACUUUGAGACUGUUUAUCAGUGAACUAAGGUGGUACCACGUGAAAAUACAAGCGUCCUUGAG